rnacentral:lncRNA from 1 species
AAUAAGAGGAUUUGAAAUGAGGAUUGUAUUUCAGCCAACAGCAGCGACCGCAACCUUAUUUGCCUCUCUCUGGUCCUCUGAGGGUCUACCAAGAGAAUAUCUGGCAUGUUUCAAGCAAGAAAACCUGAGAAAACAUAAGAAGGAGCUACAAAAGCAGACACUGGGAGUAAUGAGACACAAUGGGCUGAUGCCCUGGAGAGCGCUUUGAUGUCAAUAUAAGGCAAGAUGCUGAGUUUAAAAGCAAGUUCAAAAGAGCUUGAGAGGAAGUGAGACACUCAUAUAACGGACACAGAAUGGAAAGGAGGAAAAAAACCCAGAAGUGUUUCACAUUCUACUGUUUGGAAGGUAGCACYCUGAAGAGGAACAACAUGAGUUUCCUUGUGAACAAAUAACCACUUAGGAUUUGCCAUAGGAAGGAACUUCUGAUCCAUCCCUCUUAAAGAAAGCAUCAAGCACUCUCGGCUAACCUUCAUAAGUUUUGUGAUACUUAUUUCUUUUCCGAGGAGCCCUAGUGACAGAAUCAAGAAGCUGCAUGAAAAUUUAGUUCAUAACUUUUUUAAAAAGUGAGUUUCUAGCCUGCAAGCCAACUGAAAAAAAAAAUGAGAUCACCAAAAUGAUAACCCUGCAGAAGUCAGCAUAUCUUAAAGGAACSCAGAACAUAGAACUAUUCUUUAAAUCAAAGGGAUUUUAAACCAAUAUUGUGAUUUCUAGGGACUGGCUGCUUUUUCAGUUUAACAAACAGUCCCCAAUGUUUGUGUGCAAACAGAGUGCUCCUCAAGCCAAGGACCUGGAGCACGUGCCGUAGGGGCUGCACCUACUAGAAACAGGUUAAAUGAAAAUUAACAGAACCUGUAAUGCAGACAGGAGGCAAUGGCACAGUACACCAACAGAGACUGACAGAAAACACCCUGAGGUCCGCCACUAGAGAGGCAAAAGCAAACAGCCCUGCUCCAUGACAGGGAGUUACAUGUGACUCACCUGCAGAACAGGACACGAUGAACCRUUGGCUUUCUAUUCCAUUUAAAAUUAUUUGGCACUGUUUUUGUACCAGCUUCUGUUCAUUUAUGGUGAGUGGCUGGAAAAGGUCACUUCUACAUUGUAAAGGACGGGGAAGCAUUUGAAUGCAGUCUAUCACCAGAAUUUAACGAGGGGCUCCAGUCUCAGUAUGUGC